rnacentral:rRNA from 1 species
GACGAACGCUGGCGGCGUGCCUAAUACAUGCAAGUCGAGCGAAGUUUUUCUGGUGCUUGCACUAGAAAAACUUAGCGGCGAACGGGUGAGUAACACGUAAAGAACCUGCCUCAUAGACUGGGACAACUACUGGAAACGAUAGCUAAUACCGGAUAACAGUAUUUCUCGCAUGAGAGAUAUUUAAAAGUUGGUUAUGCUAACACUAUGAGAUGGCUUUGCGGUGCAUUAGCUAGUUGGUGGGGUAAAGGCCCACCAAGGCGACGAUGCAUAGCCGACCUGAGAGGGUGAUCGGCCACACUGGGACUGAGACACGGCCCAGACUCCUACGGGAGGCAGCAGUAGGGAAUCUUCCGCAAAGGGCGAAAGCCUGACGGAGCAACGCCGCGUGAGUGAAGAAGGAUUUCGGUUCGUAAAGCUCUGUUGUUAGGGAAGAAUGGAUAUGUAGUAACUAUACAUGUAAGAGACGGUACCUAACCAGAAAGCCACGGCUAACUACGUG